UCCGGCCCAUAGACAUUUAAUACUGUAGGUCGAGCGAAUGGAUCCAAUGAGCUUGCUCUUAUGAAGUUAGCGGCGGACGGGUGAGUAACACGUGGGUAACCUGCCCAUAAGACUGGGAUAACUCCGGGAAACCGGGGCUAAUACCGGAUAAUAUUUUGAACUGCAUGGUUCGAAAUUGAAAGGCGGCUUCGGCUGUCACUUAUGGAUGGACCCGCGUCGCAUUAGCUAGUUGGUGAGGUAACGGCUCACCAAGGCAACGAUGCGUAGCCGACCUGAGAGGGUGAUCGGCCACUCUGACACUGAGACACGGCCCAGACUGCUACGGGAGGGAAGAGACGGGAAUCUUCCGAAAUGGACGAAAGUCUGACGGAGCAACGCCUGGAGACUCAUGAAGGACUUUCGGGUCGUAAAACGCUCUCGAGCGGACGACCACGUGCUACCUGAUCAGCUGGCACCUUGACGGUACUCCCGAGAACGCGGUUUUCAAAGGAAUGCCAGCAGCGGUAAAGUACUUAGGUUGCAUGCGAUAUACGGGAUUUUUGCGCUUAUAUGUGCGUGCCGGUUGUUUACUUACUGUUGGAUGCGAGACUUCGCCGGCUUAACGGAGAGGAUCAUUGUAAACUGGGUAAACUUUGAGUGCAAGAAGAGCAAAGUGUAUUACUAGUGAGCCGUAUAAGUGCCGGUGUGUUAUACGCAGGUCUUC
rnacentral:rRNA from 1 species